rfam:Bacillus sp. FJAT-21945 super3, whole genome shotgun sequence.
GAGGAAAAGAAGAAGCACCCGCUUCUCACCUGAUUGACGCUUAUGUCAGCUGUUAGCAGGUUUUACGUGAACAUUUUUUAAGUUUAAAUUUGUCCGUAAAGUGUGGGUGUUUUCAUCCACACUUUUUUUAUUUG